rnacentral:rRNA from 1 species
GUGUGCUGUGAGGCAUGCUGGAGGUAUCAGAAGUGCGAAUGCUGACAUAAGUAACGAUAAAGCGGGUGAAAAGCCCGCUCGCCGGAAGACCAAGGGUUCCUGUCCAACGUUAAUCGGGGCAGGGUGAGUCGACCCCUAAGGCGAGGCCGAAAGGCGUAGUCGAUGGGAAACAGGUUAAUAUUCCUGUACUUGGUGUUACUGCGAAGGGGGGACGGAGAAGGCUAUGUUGGCCGGGCGACGGUUGUCCCGGUUUAAGCGUGUAGGCUGGUUUUCCAGGCAAAUCCGGAAAACUAAGGCUGAGGCGUGAUGACGAGGCACUACGGUGCUGAAGCAACAAAUGCCCUGCUUCCAGGAAAAGCCUCUAAGCAUCAGGUAACAUCAAAUCGUACCCCAAACCGACACAGGUGGUCAGGUAGAGAAUACCAAGGCGCUUGAGAGAACUCGGGUGAAGGAACUAGGCAAAAUGGUGCCGUAACUUCGGGAGAAGGCACGCUGAUAUGUAGGUGAAGUCCCUCGCGGAUGGAGCUGAAAUCAGUCGAAGAUACCAGCUGGCUGCAACUGUUUAUUAAAAACACAGCACUGUGCAAACACGAAAGUGGACGUAUACGGUGUGACGCCUGCCCGGUGCCGGAAGGUUAAUUGAUGGGGUCAGCGCAAGCGAAGCUCUUGAUCGAAGCCCCGGUAAACGGCGGCCGUAACUAUAACGGUCCUAAGGUAGCGAAAUUCCUUGUCGGGUAAGUUCCGACCUGCACGAAUGGCGUAAUGAUGGCCAGGCUGUCUCCACCCGAGACUCAGUGAAAUUGAACUCGCUGUGAAGAUGCAGUGUACCCGCGGCAAGACGGAAAGACCCCGUGAACCUUUACUAUAGCUUGACACUGAACAUUGAGCCUUGAUGUGUAGGAUAGGUGGGAGGCUUUGAAGUGUGGACGCCAGUCUGCAUGGAGCCGACCUUGAAAUACCACCCUUUAAUGUUUGAUGUUCUAACGUUGACCCGUAAUCCGGGUUGCGGACAGUGUCUGGUGGGUAGUUUGACUGGGGCGGUCUCCUCCUAAAGAGUAACGGAGGAGCACGAAGGUUGGCUAAUCCUGGUCGGACAUCAGGAGGUUAGUGCAAUGGCAUAAGCCAGCUUGACUGCGAGCGUGACGGCGCGAGCAGGUGCGAAAGCAGGUCAUAGUGAUCCGGUGGUUCUGAAUGGAAGGGCCAUCGCUCAACGGAUAAAAGGUACUCCGGGGAUAACAGGCUGAUACCGCCCAAGAGUUCAUAUCGACGGCGGUGUUUGGCACCUCGAUGUCGGCUCAUCACAUCCUGGGGCUGAAGUAGGUCCCAAGGGUAUGGCUGUUCGCCAUUUAAAGUGGUACGCGAGCUGGGUUUAGAACGUCGUGAGACAGUUCGGUCCCUAUCUGCCGUGGGCGCUGGAGAACUGAGGGGGGCUGCUCCUAGUACGAGAGGACCGGAGUGGACGCAUCACUGGUGUUCGGGUUGUCAUGCCAAUGGCACUGCCCGGUAGCUAAAUGCGGAAGAGAUAAGUGCUGAAAGCAUCUAAGCACGAAACUUGCCCCGAGAUGAGUUCUCCCUGACUCCUUGAGAGUCCUGAAGGAACGUUGAAG